AUCUUGAGGGUAGAACUUGCUUACAAAUGCUGUUAUUGCUGCUUCAACUUCACGCGAUAGCAUUGGGCAUUUGGAGCUCUUAUCAGUUCUCACAAGAUUAGGCACGGGAGAGACUUUCAUUUCAUGUGCUAGGCAUUUCAUUCUAGCUCGGAUAGACAAAAAGGGCACGAUUACUUCUCCACAUGUUCAGGAACUUGUUGAAAAAGUUAGUGCUCUCUCAGAGGAAGCCUCUAGAGGUGAGCUUCUAAAGAAUGAAGAUAUCUUGAAGAAGGCAUUAGGCAAUAAGGAUCACCCUGAUCGUGUUAGGGGUGUCGGCAUCGAUGUUACCAGAAAACAAAUUGUCGGUGAAAAGAAGGCUCCAAAAAAGGAUGUCGAUGUUGAGCUUGAGGCAUUGAAAGCACGAGUAGUGCAGCAAGAAGAAUUUUUUACGAUAAUAAUGAAGAGCCAUGGACUUAGAAAGUCAACCUCGGAGCCUGUCCAUACUCAAAAAGAUAGCUAUACCGUGCUUCAGCCUUCUCCUCGUCAUCUCUUAGAGGGUGAGGCUGACUGUUCGUCCCGGCCCAAUAGCCCAAGUAGACAUAAAGUUACCACAAAGAAAAUGUACAAUGUCC